UUAUAAUAAUAUUAUCUGUCUCCUACAUACUUCAAAAUUUUAUAAAAUACUUUGAAUUUUUAGUAAAACUCUUAGCUGAAAUAGAAGCAGCAUAUCUUGUUUUAUAUUUCAGUAUUUUAUACUUUAUCGUGUUUAUUCGCGUCUGAAUAUGUUGUCACUGCUGACUAUAUAAUUUUUUUCUAAAAAAAAGUCGCUAUCACAGUAAAAACAUAUGAUUAAAAUAGAUUAUAAUUUUUUACGGAGAAUAUUGUAUUUAGCGAUUACGAUAUCUGCUAUAAAAUAAAUUACGAUAGAUGUUACUGUUUGGAGAGACUAAUGUUGGAAUUUCCGUCUAUUAGUAAUAAAGUUCGUGAUAAAUUAUUUGUGUUGUGUUAUGUGAUCCAUAAUACUUUUUCUUCUGACGGUUCAUCACUUAUCACGAAAAAUAUUUAUGUCCGUAUUUCAGCACGUGCCAGAUACCUACAACUUGCGAUCUUUCAAUGAUAGAGGAAAGAAGAGAGAGCUAUAAAAUGAUCGCGUGACCCCAACAGGGGAAAUUACCGCCGGUACUUCUCUCGUGUGUCAACAAAGGUCUACAUAUGUUAACACAUGCGAUAUGCGUAUCGCGUACGUGUGCCGCAUCGCAAGAGCAAUCGCAUCGAAGGACACGCGGAAUCGUCGGACAUAGCCGAGGAUAUGGGUCUGUUAAACUUGAAAACACACGGAUGAAGAUUGGAUCGGCGGAAAAAAAUCGUCUGAAGAAUUUUUUCCAUGAUGCUACCAGCGAGGAAAGCCUGUAAAGUCACCAAGAAUGUUAAUGACCGCGGCUGCUACGAGUCCGGCGAUGAAUUUAACGAUGUUUAGCUCUUAUAUAUCUGAUAAUAAACUUAUUUUAUAGAUGA